rnacentral:rRNA from 1 species
AAUCAACGCUGGCGGCGUGCCUCAGACAUGCAAGUCGAACGCGAAAUUUCCCUUCGGGGAGAAAGUAGAGUGGCGCACGGGUGAGUAGCACGUGGGUAAUUUACCUUCGGGUGGGGAAUAACGUCUCGAAAGAGACGCUAAUACCGCAUGAUGCAGCGGCACCACAUGGCGACAGUUGUUAAAGCGGGGGAGUCGCAAGACCUCGCGCCUGAAGAGAAGCCCGCGGCAGAUUAGCUAGUUGGUAAGGUAAUGGCUUACCAAGGCAACGAUCUGUAGCCGGCCUGAGAGGGCGGUCGGCCACACUGACACUGAAUAACGGGUCAGACUCCUACGGGAGGCAGCAGUCGGGAAUUUUGGGCGAAUGGGCGAAAGCCUGACCCACGCAACGCCGCGUGAAGGAUGAAGUAUUUCGGUA